AGCAGAACUUCAACUGUGUUUUUGGUGGCUACUCCGACACUAUGCUUCAAAAUAGCAGAAUUUCAGCUGUGUUUUUUGUAGCUACUCAGACACUGUGCUUCAAAACAGCAAAACUUCAGCUGUGUUUUUGGUGGCUUCUCAGAAACUAUGCUUUAAAAUAGCAGAACUUCAGCUGUGUUUUUAGUGGCUACUCAGACAUUGUGCUUCAAAACAGAUAAUACACUGGCUUGGGAUAACCCUACAGUAGUUGGAAGAAACAGAGAAUUCCCCAAUGGAACCAAAUACAGAUAGUCAGGAGGAUAUGGAAGAUAUCAGUUUUCAGCAAAAUAAUGGCUUUAUAGAAGAGACUUCCUUAAAGGAGGGGAUGCUUUUAUUAUUUU